UACGUAGGAUGCAAGCGUUGUCCGGAAUUACUGGGCGUAAAGGGCGCGCAGGCGGCUUCUCAAGUCAGAUGUGAAAGCGCCCGGCUUAACCGGGCAGGGUCAUUUGAAACUGAGAGGCUGGAGUGCAGGAGAGGAUAGCGGAAUUCCCGGUGUAGUGGUGAAAUGCGUAGAUAUCGGGAGGAACACCAGUGGCGAAGGCGGCUAUCUGGCCUGCAACUGACGCUGAGGCGCGAAGGCUAGGGGAGCGAAC
rnacentral:rRNA from 1 species